CGGGCGCACAACCAGAGCCCCUAACCGGGUCCCCUGGCCGCCCGUCUGUGCAGGCUGACAAGGCGUCCACGCGCCUGAAGCAGCUCAAGCGGCAGCUAGAGGAGGCCGAGGAAGAGGCCCAGCGGGCCAACGCCUCCCGCCGGAAGCUGCAGCGCGAGCUGGAGGGCGCCACGGAGACGGCCGACGCCAUGAACCGGGAGGUCAGCUCCCUGAAGAACAAGCUGAGGUGAGUCACACCGGCGGUCCGAGUUCCCUCCGUAGACACUUGGACCCUGCUCUCCGCCGCGGCUCAUGGGCAGGUGCUCAGGGACUCAUCCGGAAGGUGCCCGUUGCAGAGCAGUGCGUGCCCUUCACGGGUUCUGCUGGCCUCUGUGGCCUUAGCCCAGCCUUGGGAACACACAGGAAACUCCUGGUGAUUUAUUCCCAGCUGGUAUCAAAAGUCCACCUUCCAGAAGCUCCAGGCUUGACGAGGACAUUUCCAGGCUGGGAGCUUUGAAUCAGAAGUUGCUGGAGGCCACCUGGCUGCAUCCCUAGCACAUAGCAGGCACCUAGGAAAUAAAUACCUGCAGGGUGCAUGCCAGCCCGACAUGUGGUGCAUGGGAAAGUUGGGGAACUGCUGAGCGCCCCUCAGGGACAGGCAGCUUCCGAGAGGGGUCAGGGGGUUGCAGGAGGUCAUCUCUUUCUCCAAGAAUCUCAUUGCUCUUUCCUUCUCCCACCUUUUUGGCGCCACUGGUGAUGGAGCCCAGGACCUCGUGUGUCCUAGGCAAGCACACUGCUGCUGAGCAAUAUCCCCAGUCCUUUUUGUCUUUGCUUUGAGCAAGGGUCUUGCUGAGUUGCCAAGGCUGGCCUCAAACUUGAUGCACUUGCCUCAGUCUCCUGAGCAGUGGGGAUACCAGAUGUGCAACACCACACUUGCCCCUUUUGUUGGAGAGAGUGUCUUGCUGUGUAACCCAGGCUGCCCUCAAACUCACGAUCUUCUUGCCUCAGCCUCCUGAAUAGCUGGGACUAUAGGUAUAUGCCACCAUCUGUGGCUGGGGCCUAUGUUUUUUUUUAAGGCCUAAGAGCAAAAAGACCAGACUUGGUCAUCGGUAUUUUAGGGUGCAUUUUCUAAGCUAUGAUCUGAAGAUGGCUGUCUUUGUGCCUGUGUAAACAGUCAUUCCUGUCUCUACCUGUUUUGUUUUGUCUUUGGAGGGGGGAUGGAGCCCAGGGCUCUGCACUGUGGGGCAAGUGUUGGGCCCAGCCCCGCUUGUUUGAUAAGGAGUUUGCUCAGAGGGGGCGCCUGUUGCAGGAGGCAGCUUCAGCUGCUUUUGUGCUUCCCUCCUGCUUUUCUGACCUGUUCCGUGCUAGUGUUAAGACGUCCGACGCAUCGCUGGUUUGCAGGGUGCCCUGCUUCCUCCGGUGUCCUUCUGUCCCACCCACUGUGAUGACUCCCCAGGCGCAGUGCUGCUUCUCCCUCACAGGAACGGGCAGUGCCCGGUUUCUACCUAAGGCGUGGGGACAUGCCCUUUGUCGUACCCCGCCGAAUGGCCCGGAAAGGUGCUGGCGACUGCUCAGACGAGGAGGUGGAUGGCAAAGUGGAUGGGGCCGAGGCCAAGCCUGCUGAAUAGGCCGCUUCUCCUGCCUCCUGGUGGACGUGGACGGACAGAUGACUCCGCACCUCUCCCCGCCCCUGCAGUGCCCCGCCUCGCCUAGGGACUGCUGUGACCGGGACCCCUUCCCCCAGCCCUGUUGAGGGCAUUGGCUUCCUCGGCUGCAGCCCUCCAGCCCCUCCCCUCUCCGAGAAUCUGAUACCAAAGAGUCAGGGCCGGGCGCAUGCCCAGAAAGCGUGACCAGCAGGUCUGUACCCUCUCUUGCCUGAAAGCACCGGUGGCGAGGCAAGGUGGGCAGGCUGCGGGGCCAGCCGCCGUUUUCUGUGAGUCUAUUUUUCUUCAGACUAAAGGAGUUUUGAUAGCCCGACACCCAGAAGCGUUGUGACCUUCCCCCUGCCUCGCCAUCGGCUCCUCCCUCCUCCUCCCUUGUCUGCUGUUGGCAAUCACAUGUGCUGACCUCAUGCCUCUGUCCCAUCAGACUCCCACCCUCCUGGGCCCUGAGUGGUCCGGAUGGAGCGGCCCUGGGUUCCACCCCUGUGCAGGGCACACAAUGUGGGGGCAAGGGAGGCUCUCCCCACCCCCCUCUGGGCAGUGCCACUGUCACCGCCCCUCCUGAUUCCAAGAUGUCUCAAGUGCAAUGCCACCUCCCCUCCUUUGCCGAGGGCAGCCCGCCCCUGCACAGCAAGGCUGUCAGGCCAAGCAGACAGGGUGUCGGCCGUGCUGGAAGGGCCAGCAGCCUUCUGGUGGCUUCUCCUAACACUCUUGGGGACCAAAUAUAUUUAAUGGUUAAGGGACUUGUCCCAGAUCUGGCAGCCAGAGCACCAGAGAAGGCUGGUGGCCCUCCACGUGAUCCUGUGCCUCCUCCAGGGCUGGGGCCCGAGGGCAGCUUAUCUGCACUGUUGACUCCGUACAAUUGAAAAUCUGCCACCUGCACAGAUUAUUUUUGAAAGGAAAAAAAAGUUUUCUUUUCUCCCCUUCUUGUAAUAAAUGAUACAAUUCUGAGUCUGUCACUGCAUUUCCUUUGGAACCAUGUUUAGAAGAGAGUAGCUUGUCCUACACUGGUCUACACUGGUUGCUGAAUUUACUUGUAUUUCUAACUGUUUUGUAUAUGCUGCAUUUAGACUUACUUAUGGCAAGAAGGCAUUUUUUUUAAAAAAAGGAAACAAACUCAAAUCAUGAAGCUACAUAUGCCUAAAAAGCUCUGAAUUCAGGUCCCAGUUGCUGUCUCAAAGGAGUGAAUGGAACUCCGAGCCACCCCCUUUUAUAUAAUACAAAGUGCCUUAGCAUGUGUUGCAGCUGCCACCACUACAGCAAGCUGGUUUACAGAUGUUUUCCACUGAGAGUCACAAUAAAGAGUACCAUGUGCUACGA
ensembl:lncRNA